CGAACUUAUGUUUCAAAACACUGUAAAAUUCAACUCUUACCCACAAAAAAAUCCCUACAAUACUCAUCAAAUAUGGAUGACGACGCCUAGCCAGGAGCACCUGCACUUCACUGAUUCACUGAACAGAUGUGGCGUGAUGAGAUCAGGUUAGGGGGUGUUUGAAGAUGCUUCCUUUCUGCCCCGAUCCCCCUUAUUUUCCUCUCACACACCCCGCUCCCCGCCCCUCCUUGGCCUGUCCUCUGAGCUACAUGUGGCACGGUUGCCUACUGCUUCCUGUGACAAGCCAAGCUGUCCACUGACCACUUCAUUUUUGAUGUUGGCAGGCAAAACUCGAGGCGUGGCGGCCAAUCCGCACACACACACACGAACACACACUGAGUUCAAGGGAACAUCAUCCAAGAAGAAGAAGAGUUUCCAAAUGACCAAACACAGGCUGCUUGAUGAGUGUUUGCUUCGCCUCUUCUUUGUUUUCUCUGUCUUUUCUUCAGAAGUCCAUCAUUGUAUCUCUGUUUAUCUUUCAUUUCCAUUCUUCCUACCCCUGCUUUGUAUUGAUAUUUGUAUUUCUGUCUUUAUUGGCUGUCCCGUUUUUCUUUCUCUGAGAAGUAUUUUUAUCUUUUUUUUCUGCUGCUUCUUUCUGUCUUUUUGUUUCCCUCCUGUUUUACCGUCUUUUAUUGUUUUUGUUUAGGGUUUAACUUUCUCUUUACCUUGUCUGUCCAAAGUGUCUGUCUUUCUCUUUCCUUAUAAUCUCUGUGCUUAAAGUGUUUGUUCUUCACAGUCUUUCCUGCUUUAGUCCAUCUUUCGCUCCUUCUUUUUCGCCAUUUGCUUUCUCCAUAUUUGAAGUGUCUGUCCCUCCUUUUCUGACUUCACACCAUCAGCCUUUAUAGACUUUUGUCUUCUUUGGCUGUUCUUAUACUGUCAUUUUCUGCUUUGUUUUCCCUUCUAUUUUUUGUCAUCGUCUGUCUCUUCAAUGUGUUUCUUAUGCAGCUUCUUCUGCAGUCGCAGUCUUGCUUCACUCAGUAUUUCACAAAUUAAAUCUUUGUCAUUUCUAUCCGGAUUUUUAGAAAUCUGAUUAUAGUGACUGAAGUUGUAUAGUCACCUAUAAUUAGCAUUUUAAACUAAACUAAAGGAUCAUGAACCCAGCAGGGCAGCUGCAACUGACCCCAAACAUGCUUAUCUGGCCUAAAACAGGGAUUGUACUAAAAGAAAAAAGAAAAAAUGAGAUUUUAGAGCACGCUUUAGCAUCCAGUGGGAGCUACCUGCAUCCGCACGAUCUGAUCUACUUAAGAUCAAAUUGUGCAGUGCGGCCCCAUGAACUAAACUAAGUUUGACAUCCUUG
ensembl:lncRNA